rnacentral:rRNA from 1 species
UACAGAGGGUGCAAGCGUUGUUCGGAAUUAUUGGGCGUAAAGCGCGUGUAGGCGGCUUUGCAAGUCGGGUGUGAAAGCCCUCAGCUUAACUGAGGAAGGGCGCCCGAAACUGCAGAGCUUGAGUGCCGGAGAGGGUGGCGGAAUUCCCCAAGUAGAGGUGAAAUUCGUAGAUAUGGGGAGGAACACCGGUGGCGAAGGCGGCCACCUGGACGGUAACUGACGCUGAGACGCGAAAGCGUGGGUAGCAAACGGG